rnacentral:rRNA from 1 species
CACGUAGGGGGCGAGCGUUGUCCGGAUUUAUUGGGCGUAAAGAGCUCGUAGGCGGCUCGGUAAGUCAGGUGUGAAACCUCCAGGCUCAACCUGGAGACGCCACCUGAUACUGCCGUGGCUAGAGUCCGGUAGAGGAGCGUAGAAUUCCUGGUGUAGCGGUGAAAUGCGCAGAUAUCAGGAGGAAUACCAGCGGCGAAGGCGGCGCUCUGGGCCGGUACUGACGCUGAGGAGCGAAAGCGUGGGAGCAAACAGG